rnacentral:rRNA from 1 species
UGGGGAAUAUUGCACAAUGGGCGGAAGCCUGAUGCAGCGACGCCGCGUGGGGGAUGACGGCCUUCGGGUUGUAAACCUCUUUCAGCUCCGACGAAGCGGGAGUGACGGUAGGAGCAGAAGAAGCGCCGGCCAACUACGUGCCAGCAGCCGCGGUAAGACGUAGGGCGCGAGCGUUGUCCGGAUUUAUUGGGCGUAAAGAGCUCGUAGGCGGCUUGUCGCGUCGUCCGUGAAAACCCGUGGCUCAACUGCGGGCUUGCGGUCGAUACGGGCAGGCUGGAGUUCGGUAGGGGAGACUGGAAUUCCUGGUGUAGCGGUGAAAUGCGCAGAUAUCAGGAGGAACACCGGUGGCGAAGGCGGGUCUCUGGGCCGAUACUGACGCUGAGGAGCGAAAGCGUGGGGAGCGAAC